rfam:Tissierella creatinophila DSM 6911 TICR_contig000016, whole genome shotgun sequence.
CAAUGAAAGUAGAAGUUUCCGCUUCUCACCUUAUAGCUAUGGCUCAUAUGGUCAGUUAAAACAAAUAUAAAUCUUAUGUGUAUAAGAUUUAUUAUUCAUGUAAACUUAGAGCGGGUAUUUUUAUACCGGCUCUUUAUUAUUUUA